rnacentral:snRNA from 1 species
UUAAUGUUAGCUAACCAUUU